AAACAUUACCGCUUGGGAACGGCUGUCCAUAAGAAAACUGCAUCCGUUUUGUGCUUGACCACUGUUAAGAAUGAAGAUAAAUUGGAGUUCGGCAGAGUUUUGGAGGCUAUCAAGGCUAACUUCAAUGACAAAUAUGACGAGUACAAAAAGGAUAUUGCUAUCAAAAGGCUAUGAUGGCACACUACUAGAUGGACAAGAUAUUGCUGUCAAAAGGGUUUGACACAUAUCAGCACAAGGUUUCUGGGAAAAUGUUAAA